UGCGCAGGCGGUUUUGUAAGACAGUGGUGAAAUCCCCGGGCUCAACCUGGGAACUGCCAUUGUGACUGCAAGGCUAGAGUGCGGCAGAGGGGGAGUGGAAUUCCGCGUGUAGCAGUGAAAUGCGUAGAUAUGCGGAGGAACACCGAUGGCGAAGGCAAUCCCCUGGGCCUGCACUGACGCUCAUGCACGAAAGCGUGGGGAGCAAACA
rnacentral:rRNA from 1 species